GACAGAGGGUGCAAACGUUGUUCGGAAUUACUGGGCGUAAAGCGCGUGUAGGCGGCUAAGCAAGUCGGGCGUGAAAUCCCAUGGCUCAACCAUGGAAGUGCACCCGAAACUGCAUAGCUAGAGUCCUGGAGAGGAGAACGGAAUUCCCGGUGUAGCGGUGGAAUGCGCAGAUAUCGGGAGGAACACCCGUAGCGAAGGCGGUUCUCUGGGCCAGUACUGACGCUGAGGCGCGAAGGCUAGGGGAGCAAACAGG
rnacentral:rRNA from 1 species